GGUUAAGCGACUAAGCGUACACGGUGGAUGCCCUGGCAGUCAGAGGCGAUGAAGGACGUGCUAAUCUGCGAUAAGCGUCGGUAAGGUGAUAUGAACCGUUAUAACCGGCGAUUUCCGAAUGGGGAAACCCAGUGUGUUUCGACACACUAUCAUUAACUGAAUCCAUAGGUUAAUGAGGCGAACCGGGGGAACUGAAACAUCUAAGUACCCCGAGGAAAAGAAAUCAACCGAGAUUCCCCCAGUAGCGGCGAGCGAACGGGGAGGAGCCCAGAGCCUGAAUCAGUGUGUGUGUUAGUGGAAGCGUCUGGAAAGGCGCGCGAUACAGGGUGACAGCCCCGUACACAAAAAUGCACAUGCUGUGAGCUCGAUGAGUAGGGCGGGACACGUGGUAUCCUGUCUGAAUAUGGGGGGACCAUCCUCCAAGGCUAAAUACUCCUGACUGACCGAUAGUGAACCAGUACCGUGAGGGAAAGGCGAAAAGAACCCCGGCGAGGGGAGUGAAAAAGAACCUGAAACCGUGUACGUACAAGCAGUGGGAGCCUCUUUUAUGGGGUGACUGCGUACCUUUUGUAUAAUGGGUCAGCGACUUAUAUUCUGUAGCAAGGUUAACCGAAUAGGGGAGCCGAAGGGAAACCGAGUCUUAACUGGGCGUUAAGUUGCAGGGUAUAGACCCGAAACCCGGUGAUCUAGCCAUGGGCAGGUUGAAGGUUGGGUAACACUAACUGGAGGACCGAACCGACUAAUGUUGAAAAAUUAGCGGAUGACUUGUGGCUGGGGGUGAAAGGCCAAUCAAACCGGGAGAUAGCUGGUUCUCCCCGAAAGCUAUUUAGGUAGCGCCUCGUGAAUUCAUCUCCGGGGGUAGAGCACUGUUUCGGCAAGGGGGUCAUCCCGACUUACCAACCCGAUGCAAACUGCGAAUACCGGAGAAUGUUAUCACGGGAGACACACGGCGGGUGCUAACGUCCGUCGUGAAGAGGGAAACAACCCAGACCGCCAGCUAAGGUCCCAAAGUCAUGGUUAAGUGGGAAACGAUGUGGGAAGGCCCAGACAGCCAGGAUGUUGGCUUAGAAGCAGCCAUCAUUUAAAGAAAGCGUAAUAGCUCACUGGUCGAGUCGGCCUGCGCGGAAGAUGUAACGGGGCUAAACCAUGCAC
rnacentral:rRNA from 1 species